GGCUCGUUGGUCAAGGGGUAUGAUUCUUGCUUAGGAUGUGAAAGGUCCUGGGUUCAAUCCCCUGACGAGCCC
rnacentral:tRNA from 1 species